AACGUAGGUACCGAGCGUUAUCCGGAUUUACUGGGCGUAAAGCGCGUUCAGGCGGUUUGGCAAGUCGGGCAUGAAAUCUCUCGGCUCAACCGGGAGAGGUUGUCCGAUACUGCUGGACUGGAGGGCAGUAGAGGGUGGUGGAAUUCCGGGUGUAGUGGUGAAAUGCUUAGAUAUGUCAUAGAACACCGAUUGCGAAGGCAGCUCACAAAGCCAUUAUUGACGCUGAGGCACGAAAGCGUGGGGAUCAAACAGG
rnacentral:rRNA from 1 species